CGGGGAGUAGCGCAGCGGUAGCGCACCUGCUUUGGGAGCAGGAGGUCGGGGGUUCAAAUCCCCUCUCCCCGA
rnacentral:tRNA from 1 species